UUGCUCACGAACUCGUGAAUAGGGAACCGUAGGCCGGCCCAAAGCGUCUCGCGGUAAACCGCGAUCCGACCUGGGGGCGGCUGCGUCACCCUGUCUUCCGGCCCCACAGUUUCGAGACGAAACCCGGGCUGGAAGAAAAACCGGGAGCGGAUUAACUCCAACUCCUCCCCUGAUAGACUUGACCCCACCUCCUCCGGACCAAGACCCAUUUCACAGGAGAGCGAAAUAAAAUUAAAAGCAGAGGAUGAUAACUGGGAGGAAAAGAGAAGAGGAACCCUAGCAAUCACAGGGUAGGGAUCUACUGGACAUCGCCGGAAAUCGCUCCGGGCACCGACGGCGAGGUUCGAUUGAGGAAGGAAGCAAGGGAGAAAGACAACAAAAAUAAGAGGCAGCCAAAUAAAACCUUUAGGGCAAACUCGAGGGGUUUAUAUAGACCCCCUUGACGGUCCAGAUCGGCAGGGUCGGUUCCCAUCCCCUGACCGGAUUGCGCCACGUGUCGGCCUCGGAGACCGAGGCACCGUAUUCACUCCGGAUCAAUAAAUCGGGUACGAAAUCGAAGCCCUGUCCCAUCGGAUCUCGGGGCCUCAUU
rnacentral:lncRNA from 1 species